rnacentral:lncRNA from 1 species
UCUAUAUUUUCCCUACCUUAUAAACUUUAAGUAUCUUAAACAUUAAAUUAACAAUUUAUAAAUAUGUCAUUAAUAUAUGUAUAUUCUUUUUAUAUUUUAUGUGUGUAACUUUUAAAAAUAAUUUCUAGCACUAGAGAAAUGUUAUUCAUAAAAUGGGCGGCACAUACAUAGAAUAUAAAAGAUGCUUACUAUUUAAAAUAUUACAAUUUAUAGCUGAUAUAUAUUCUUUGUAGAAUUUCUAAAUUGUUCAAUGCUGACGGUUUCUGUCAAGUCUGUUUUGUUUCCCUCAAUGUUUUAAUUGCAAUAACUAAUAAGGUAUUCAUUAGUAGUUUUUUCUCUCCUUUCCUUACUGGGCGGUACCUUGUAUUCAGAAGAGGGGGUCUGUUUUGGGUAGGGAUUUCAAAGGUUUCAUUUGCAAAUGAAACCUUUUUUUUGCUUCUUUUUUACCAUAUUGCAUUAAAAAUUCGCUUCACCAACAUUUGUGAAAGGACUGUCUUCCUCUUUCAAUUUUUCUAAAAGCAUUAGUCUUUUUGACUCUUUUCAUUGUUAAGGUAUAUUUUUUUGUCGCAACAUUUCUAUUAUUUCACUCAUUGUCAUUUUUAGCUCUUGAAUCUUUGUUGUCUCUUCAUAAAAAUUUCUAAAUGAGACAUCAGAUCCCGUUGUUAACUUUGGACGAUCAGUCUUUUACUUAAGCUUGAGAAGGUGAUAAUCCACUUUUCCACACAUUUUAUCCAAGGAAAUAUUGGUGACAUGAGUGUCAUCAAUAUUUUGAUCAUUUCCAAAUUACAUAGUGUAUCUCUCAAUCAUUAAGAUUUUUUAAUUCAUAACUGAACUGUGUAUGUCUGCAACAGAAAACUUCCCAACACCCUUGUUUGUUGUAAUGUCUCCGGCAUGAGUUAUCAUUGAACCCGAUUCAGACAGAUUCUAUACUAUGCUAUAACUACAAGACUUGUAGGUUUAAUCCACUCAGAUUCCUUGGAUGAGGUAUUGUAUCAAAUUCAUAAUUUUGUUCAUUUUCUCCAAUUAAUUUCCAUUUUCUGCUCCUUAAAGACUUAGCCAAUUUCACAAGUAGCCGAGAAGCUUCAGAUGUAGGCUACUAAGUCUAUUUAAAUCAGCUGAAGUCUAAUUUAUCUUAUCUCUUAAGUAUUAUUAUUAUCAUUGAGUCCAUCUUACUAUAGCUCCUCCUAUUUUUUGAGGACCUUUGACAAAGUUUGAAUAAGGAUGGAUUUUUUUCUCGGAACAUCCGGGUUUAUUGAUCUGAGUCCACUCAUAUUUCAAUUGAUUCAUAUGUGUUGUGAUAUUGGGCUAUCCAUGAUGUUAGGUAUUUCAUCUCUUUAGAAAAUGUUUUUGUGACUCACUCGGUGGAUGGUAUCUAAUUUAAUGGAAGUAUCAUUCAUUGUGCGGAUGCUCCUUAACGUCAAAAAGCUGUUACUUCAUGAUCAAUUGACUCAAGUACAUAUCUGUCACUCGAGAUCUUAUGGAAUCAUUGUAUAUUUCUCUAAGAACUGAGGAUAUCUUUAAUCAAGUGGAGUAAUACUGGAACGAAAUGUACAGUGAGAAACAAAGAGACUUAUCACCCUUCAUCGGCAGCUCUUCUAUUGAAACUCCUUCCAAAUUCUACUCUAUUUCGUCUCCUAAUAUUUUUAGAAAACUCUUUCAUUGAUUCGAGUCCUUAGUGUCAUUUAUGUACUAGCAAACAAGCAACUCAUAUCUAUGACACAGAAUCCAUAUAUGAGGUAUGUAAUUAUAAACGCUUCAUCCUCACUUGUGUGUCUCUUCUGUCAUUUAAAAAAGUAGAAGACGGCCCUGGACUAUGAAUUUAUUGUGAUCCUCUUUUCUAGAUAUCUUAAUCAACAAAGCCACAAGACAUGUUCAACUCUCCUAUUACAUACAUAUAUGCUUUAAUAGUUCAUGGGACCUCAUACGUCAUAAAUAUGUUAAUAAAUUAUAGUGAUAAUAUCACUCCAGUAAACUAAUAUUGAAAAAUAUGAAUUUUGUUUAACAUAUUUCAAAAGUUAUUAUGUCGGGAGUCAUUUUCUGAAUUACAAAAUUACUUGUCAUUUUGUUUAAAUAUCACUCUCGUGAGGAUUUAGGAUCUUCACAUCAAUAUUCAAUAAAUAAAUUACGGAUUACACUAAAUACUGACGAUAUGACAAUGAAUUCAUUAAUUUUUAAUAAAUUAUGUUCCUUCACGAUUGUAAAGCACAUCAAUAUGACAUUAACACUUAAAAUUAUUUUUUUACUUAUCAAUUGUAAAUAGUGGUGUAAUGCAUCUAUAUAAAUGUAUAUUUAUAUAUGUGCUUCAUUGAUUUAUGUUGAUACUUAUAUUUUGUAUUAAUUGUUUAGAUUUAUAAUAUAAUUCAUAAUUUAUUAUCUUGCCACGAUUUAAGAUUAUUACAAUGACAGACUUUUAAAUAUCUAAGUAUCUCGUUUAAAUAUUAUAAUAGUAACAUAAUUUGCCAUUAUAUUUUAUUGACACAAUAUAUGUACAAUUGUCUAAUUUAUUAAGAUAAAUUGUAUCAGGAAAGUGAGGAGUAUUCCAACAGUUUUUCAAAUAUUUGAUUAUAAAUUAAUAGAACCCUUUUUUAACUUAAGAUUGAGGGAAAGUGACAAUAAGGAUUUAAAUGAUAAUAAUCUUUAAAUAAAGUAAUAUUGUAAAACUUAAUUGAAUAAUAAUCAACACAAAAU